GCUUGGAUGGCUCAACUGGUUGAGCGUCUGACUUCAGCUCAGGUCAUGAUCUCAUGGCUUGUGGGUUCGAGCCCCUCAUCGGCCG
rnacentral:tRNA from 1 species